UGUGACCUUGUUUCCGAGGGACCUAAAAAGCUUCGCUUCAUAUUGACAUCCUCCCAGUGACAGAGGAGUACAGGAAAUGAUGCAGGUGCAAGGUGCUUACAGUCCAGAGGAAAGGGUGUGAAGCAAGAAUGAGAAAGCCUGAGGGAACCAUGCAGAUAUCCUAGCCAGAGCCUUCAGACCAAGACAAUCGAACAUCCCUGGAUAUCUGAGAUAGCCAGCCUUUCUUCUGGAGAGCUUCCCAGGUAACCAGCAUCCGAAACCCCAGCUGCUGUCUCCAUGGUGAUCAGGAUACCCCCUGUGAUGAAGUCUUGCUCUGUCGCCCAGACUAGAUUGCAGUGAUGUGUUCUCGGCUCACUGCAACCUCCGCUACCUGGGUUUAAGCGACUCUCCUGCCUCAGCUUCCAGAGUAGCUGGGACUACAGGUGAAAAUACACUCUUCAGGAGGAAUUAUUUUUUGUUGGCAUGAUGACAACGUAUUUGGCCCUGGCAAUAGAUUAUGGCUGGUACAAACCAGUUCUCAGGAUAUCUUACAACUAGAGGCAGCCUUAAGACCCUGUUUUGUCGAGAAUACCUACUUGGAAGUCUAGUCAAAAGUGGCAGCUCACCCUCCUGUUUCAACUCAGAAGUCCUUCUCCAUUACCACCCCUGUCAAGUGAGGAGCUGCUGUUUCUCCUACUAAUGAGCAGAGCAG
rnacentral:lncRNA from 1 species